GUAUGAAAAACUUGUCUCCCAAGGCAUCAUCAAGACCAUUUAAAAAUAACUCUACCUUUAAAAUACUCAAUGAUCGUCUCUCUGAGGAUGAAAGUUGAUAAAAUCUCCUAUCAAGUUCUUCCAAGAAUUCAUAAAGAUCCAUCUGCUUGCCUGAUUGAAACUCUAUCCAAUUCAAAAACUUUCGCUUGGUAAUCUUAUCUUCAUAUCUAUCAAUAAAUUCUUUCUUCAAAAGUUCUUGAAAUUUUGGCCAUGUUUCUAUACUCCC
rnacentral:lncRNA from 1 species